rnacentral:rRNA from 1 species
UACGAGGGGGGCAAGCGUUGUUCGGAAUUAUUGGGCGUAAAGGGUGCGUAGGCGGGUCUUUAAGUCAGAGGUGAAAUCCUGGAGCUCAACUCCAGAACUGCCUUUGAUACUGAGGAUCUUGAGUUCGGGAGAGGUGAGUGGAACUGCGAGUGUAGAGGUGAAAUUCGUAGAUAUUCGCAAGAACACCAGUGGCGAAGGCGGCUCACUGGCCCGAUACUGACGCUGAGGCACGAAAGCGUGGGGAGCAAACAGG